rnacentral:sRNA from 1 species
GAGAGAGAGAGAGUGAGAGCAUACAGGGCGAGAAAAUUUCUUGCUCUCAUCGUCCCACGCGAUGCGGCGAUUGUGGAAGGCGACACAACAUCGAUUCGCCGUGGUGGGUUUUUGACGCUGAUUUGUGGGAGUCAUCGACGAUUCGUUGGCAAUAUCGUUCUUCCUUUCUCCGGGAAGUUGAUUUGAAUUGGUGUCCUAAGAGGGAAGCCAUGAAUGCGAAAAAGAUAAGUACUGCACACUAACUUUUUGAUAUGUUAAGAGUUUUGAAUUUUGUUGAUAUCGAUACGUUACACUGACUAGUUCGUUGAAAUUAUCUAAAAAAAAUGUAAGGUAAAAUUAUCAUGACAUUACAACAAUUCUGAAUUUUUUAGGUCUAGUUCUAUUUCUAAAAUGACUUUUUUUGAUAUUCAGGUUUGCAUUUAUCUGCCUGAUGUGAGGCCACUUUUUUUUAUAGAGAAUACUUCCUGAUCUGUAUGUUUGAAACUUUAUCAAUUUACUUCCAUGUUACUUCUGAAAUUUAACUCUAGAUAUAGUAUUGUGUUAAAUAAUGAACUGAGUUAGUAGUUUGUGUUAGUUACAGGAAUUUACUAUUGAAAUUUCACCUUUUUUGUGUAAUUUUUUAACUAAAUAACUGUAAUAUCUUACCUGAUCAGUUUCUGUUUUUGAAUUGAAACUGUGUAACUUAAAUUUGUUCUAUCAAUCUGUGAAACAUGUAUGAUGGAUUGAGAUCACUUCACAUGGUAGAUUUCAGAUGAUUGAUUUGUUUUCUAUACAGAAUUUUACACAGUCAGAUUAAUAAAUGCAGAAGUAAACAUGAUCUUUUAUCUCCUUUUACUUUAUACUGAUGUCUUUAACAUUGUCUAUUUGGAAAUUGUCCACAAUAACUAGAGUUCAGGUAUAUAUUAGGGCCUAUUGAUGUAUUUAGGUUUAAGUUUAUUUCUGAAGUGACUUUUUCUGAUAUUUAGAUUUUGUUUUUAUCUGCCUUAUUUGAGACAAUGAACUCUAGAUGUAGUACUGUGUUAAAUGAUGAACUGAGUUAGUAAUUUGUGUCAGUUACAGGAAUGUACUAUUGAAAUUACAAAAUUUUUUUGGUGUAAUUCUUUAACUAAAAAAACUGUAAUAUAUUUGCAAACAUGUAAAACAGUUCAUAGUUUGCUAUAAUGAAUGUUUUUUUGCUGUUUUGUAAGUAUGUUACUCUUUUAAUAUUUUUGUUUGUAACUUUGAAUAAUUGACUUUGCUGUCCUUGGCUACUUUUGUGUGUUCUUCUUGAUCUUGUCCAGUUUGUUUGUUUGUAUGUAAAUUAGAGGACUUGUUUCUUGAAAAUGAAAAUGAAAAUGGUGGCUAAUAUCUUCACUAGGAGAAAUAUGAUGUGCAUUUUUUAUUCUUUUUUAUGUCACCAAGUUAAAUGCAUGGUUUGAAAUUAGUAUGCAUGUGUACUUUAUCAUUUUGCACUAUAAAUACUAUAUCUAUUACUAUUACUAUAGUGCAUUAAUUCAUCAAUUACAGUAAUUUAUUACUGAAAUUACACUCUUUCUUUUGUUGUAAUUCCUUAACUAAAUAACUGUAAUAUGUUUUGAAACAUGUAAAAUAAUACAUAGUUAACUGUAAUGGAUGCAUUUUUUUAAUUUGGAAUGAAGGUGUUGAACCAGAGAAUGAAAUUAAUGAUGAUGUUAAUGAAGCUGUUCAAGAUAAUGAUAAUUUUACAUCAUCUCCAAUGGUAUAAUUUUUUAACUCACUUUUUUAUUAAUUACAUCAUCUCCAAUGGUAUAAUUACAAUGUAAUUUUGUACAAUGUGUGUAUUUGAAUAGUUUUAUGCUUCAGUUGUAUAAUAGCUGAAAACCUUGAAAUUGUUAGGGUGUACAGUGUGUGCAUUUGAACAGUUUUAUGUAAUCUGCAAAUGGUUAAAUAGGGUUUUCUAAUUGAAAGAUUGAUUAUGGUGACAAUUUGCAUUGCUACCUAAUUUGUGUUGAUGACAAGAAUGUGCAAUUCUUGCUAGACCAGGUAGAAAUAUAAUUGAUGUUCUGAAUUUUUAUGAUUGAUGACAGUUACUAAUUCUAUUGAAGCAUUCAGGGUGUUUUUGAGGCUAUAAUUUUGCAAAUGCUAUAUGCUAUGUGCAAUUUAGUUAGGUAUUUUUAAUCUUUCAGUGACAAUCUUGCAUGAGUAAAGAACAAAAGUUAUUGACGAUUUCAAAAUGAGUCAUAGAGGCUGAUUUCCUGAUGCUCGUAGAUAUUUUUCAUAUUAGUUUCAAAUUGAUUUUAGAUUGUUACAUGACUAAGACAGGCUGACUUUUACUAAGUUUCAGAUUGUUCUCUGUAUUUCAAUUUACAGUACAAACAUAUUGCAGUUACAGUUUAAUAGUACUGUAAUUCUAUUAGAAAUUUACUGUAAUUUUUGAAUUUGUCCUGUUAAUUCAAAGAAUUAAGCAUUUUACUUUUUC